rnacentral:lncRNA from 1 species
UAGAAUAAUAACAUAUAUAAAUAUGUAUAUAUAUUAAUUUUAAAAAAUGUAUGUGUAUUAUAAAAUGCGUACAUGUAUAUGUAUAUGACAAAAUUUGAAGUUUUAAAAAAAAUAAAUAAGUAAAUAGUAACAAUAAUAAUAUUAAUGACGUAAUAUAAGAACAAAAUAAAAAAUAAAAAAAAUUGGGGGGGCAGAUUUGAAAAUGAAAUAAAAAGAUAUUAAAGGACUAAAGUAAAACGCGCGUUAAGAAGGAGGGACUGAUUGCGAAAUAUUCCCAACCCCAGCACGCAGCGUUUCAACCCGGACUAAAAAGGAACAUGCAGAAAAUUCGUGGGGCCAAAUUAAAAAAUAAAUAAACAAGCAUAAGGACUAAAUUAAAACAGAUUAACAAUGAGGAGGGACCAAGGACGCAAAUAGCCCACUUAACAGAAACGCGCGGAUCCCCUAGGCGGGUCGGGUCGCGCAUGCGGGUCGGCCACUCUUGAAACGACGCCGUUUUACUCCUUUAUUUAAGUCAAAUUUUUUUAACCCUCAUUUCAGAUCUUUCUUUUUUUAAAAAAAAAGAAAUCUCCCUCCCCCUCUCUCAACAUUUCCAGAAACUGGCCACACGCCGACGAGCUCUCGCGGUGGCUCCGCCGUAUCCCCGCCGUAGCGCCGCCAUGCCGGAGGGCCAAAAAUGCCCCAAACACAAAUUUUUUUUAAAAAAAAUCCAUUUUCCUAAAAUAUAUACCCGAUUUGGGUAUUUUGAAACCAAAAAACAAAAGAAAAAAAAAAGGAAGGGCCUUUCGGCCUCUGUCACUUCGGCCGCCGCCUAAGCGAAAUCCUAAUGGGUUUUUGCGGCCUCGAAAAGCAGAGGGGAACUCCCGACGGUGGUGCUAUGCCCGGCCACAGGUAUGCUCCCUCCUCUUUCUUUUUAUUCUAUGCACCUUUUUUAUUAAAAUAGAUUUGUAAAAAUAAUAAAUAAAUAAAAAUGGAAAACAAAGAAAAAACCCCGAAAAGAUUUAAAUCAACACCUUUUAUUGCUUCUAAUAUUCGUGAAAUUGCCAGAAGAGAGAACUAUUGUUCAUUGUGGCUUUUUAUAGCCAUUUUACAACUUUUUGUUUCUAUUUUCUUGUUUUUUUCUGUUGUAUGCUUCUGUUGUCUUCUUGUGCUGGCGUGUUUAUAGCUCUCUGCAGGUGUCUGACACGCGUGGAGGGCCAACGAUUGGUGACGGUGGCGGUGGCGUGCGUGAGGGAGCCUGGCAGAGCACGCAGCGCUGGGGCUGGGCAGAAGCAGGAGCGGCGGCCAGUAGCUACUAGGGUUCUCUGCUGCUGAAAAUUUUUAGUUUCCUGGGCUAGAGUUUUUUAUUUUUGGGCCUGUUGAGUGUAAUUUGGGCCAUUGUUUUUAUUUUUUACUGGGCCAGUAAAUUUGGGCUUCUACAGUAAAUAUGAAGAGUAAUCUUAGAAGUUUGUAAUUUGAUAAGUUUUAAUUUUGUAAUUUUAAAGGAUUGACACAAUCCUUUAAGAAUAUCAAUUAUAGAUAAGUUUUAUUUUUGACCGUCAAUGUAUAGUAAACUGUAUCGUUGGAUUUAGGGAAACUCAAUUGUAAUAGAGUUUUCCCCUUUAUUUGUAAUUACUCAAUUAUAAUCAUUUAUGGUAAUUAAAUACUAUUUAAGUAUUUACUCAAA